AAAGAGAACAUUGAGAGAUAACAGAAUUAGUCUGACCCUUCUCAAGAUGAUUCUUACGAGAAUUCACAGAAGAGUUGCAAGGGCAGAAUGUAACUUGGUCUCUUU
ncrna:unclassified sequences Parabacteroides-1 RNA